GACGGGGCUGUGAGCACUGCUGAGCUGUGGGUGUCCCUGUGCGCUGCAGGGAGCGGCACCAGGCGGCCUUCAGCUCCCUUCCACCCAAACCAUGCUGUGAUUCCAUGGCCAUGGCCUCAGUGGAGUACAGAGUUCAUCACUGACCAAAUAAACCACAAGCGGCCAGAUGAGCUAUUAUUGGGCAGACUGUUGGCCAAAUAAACUGCUGUUGAAUGGGUAAACCAUCAGUCAGAUAUCUCCACUUGUCCCCAUCCUCACCAGGGAAGGGCUGUUCUGUUUUAACAGUGGCAGCCACUGGGGAGAUGGAGAACAGGCCCUGAGUGUUGCAAAUUAGGUUGAAAGUCUGGAGAAGAGGAGCUGGAACCGACUGAUGAGGCACAAAUUGGAAGCUGGGGUGGAUCUUUCUUUCUUUUUUUCUUUUCCUUUUUUUUUCCUCCCAGGGAAGUGUCAUUUGUACAAAUUGCCAGUUCGUGCCAGCUUGGGAGAGACCUCACAAGGGAAACCUGGAGCCUUCCCUGCUUUUCAUGUGAGCGGAUGCCCCUUUUAUUUCUGAGCAAGGAGUAAGUGGAGAAGAAAGGAGCCCCUGUCAGCCUCACGGAGACAAAUUGCUUCCUGCAGCAGAGGUGGCUCGGCGCUAACAACCACCCACUGCCAGAGGGCUGUGAGCAAGUGGAGCUCCUCGUCCUUCCAUGGGACCAGGCUGGCAUGUCACUGUCACCGCAUGCCACUGCCACUGCGUGCCACCACUCCUCCGCGCCCCGCAGCUCCAUCGGUGCGGAUGAGACGGCAGCUCAGCGGCUCUACCUGCGCCCAUGCUGGGGAGAGAAAAACCUGAUUUAAGUGGCUCACAAAUGUGUGGGUUAAAGGCGCGCUGCUGCAAAGGCAACAUGUUGAGAGCUGGAGCCAGAUGGAUGUGGAUGAGCAGCGCAGUGAAAAUUAUCAACCGCAGGAACAGCGGGGGAUUCCCUGCUCCGGGGAGACGUGAAAUCAGGGACAGAUUUGCUCUCUUGCAGCAUGCCCUGGGUCGCACAGGAGUUAAUCCAGAGCAGUUGCGAUUACGGAUUGUGCACUGAGGGAUCCUAAACGCUCCCUCUGAUCCAUGAUCCAAAACCACAGCCCCCAGCCACACAGCCCUCUGUGAAACCUCUUGCCAAAGACCUCCAUUUAGCGGUAAUUCCCUUUAUAGCUUAUUUUUGCCAUGCGGCUGCACACCCCAUUGUUUACCCGAGCACACAAGUCCCUGGCUCUUCUCCGUUCCAUUCUCUCUCAGCUGGCUGCCAUCGAGCUGAUUUCCCCCUCCUCCUGUGCUCUGCCACAGAGCCUAAAUCGACACAUCUGUUUUUAAAGAGAGGAGCAGUCCCAUCAUCCUCACUUUCAGCCCUGCACAUUCAACUCCUGCAGCCUCCAUGGGGCUGCCGUCACCGUGUUUGUGUAGGGCCUACAGAAAACGGGAGUGGGAAAACAACAGUGUAACAUUACAUGUUUGGUUUUGGUUUUUUUUUUCUUUUCUUUUUUUUUUUUUUGGAGCAUCAGGUUUCCUUCAUUGCAGCAGCAAUAAGAUGUUUCCAGCUUCUUUCUGUCUUCUGAUUGCGCUGAGAGCAUCCUGCAGAGCAGAGCGUUCGCUCACAGCCACAACCAGCUCUGAAGGGCUCAGAGCCAGCAGUGAGCUGGCUGCUCAAGUGCAGAGCAGACUUGGCUAAAGAGGGAAUGGACUGAUAUGCCCCCAAAUGUCAGCCCUGGCUCCUCACCAGCAAACCAUCCUUCAGCUUGCGUGUGUUUUGCACUUAGGGCAAACCAACGUUUAGAUGGAAAGUGGGUCAGCAUGAAUGCUUUGCAAAGGGGAAAUGAAGACCUGGAGGGGUUUCAUCCAUCCCACAUCCAGCAGAGCUCCUGGCCAGGUCCAUCCUGCUUGAGGACAUCUUUCCCUGCCCAUUAGCUAUGUUAAUGAAUCUGCAUCCCCAGCACCCUGCUGGUUCAUGCCCCUUGUUGCCAUCUCCCCUUUCUCUUGCCGUUCUUUUUCCCCCUUAGAAAUUUUGCAUUUCUAGCCUGCUUGUCAUAUUUCCUACCGGAUUGGGUGUUUAAUUAAAAUCAUAAUUAAAAUUGAUCUCCUCAUUAGCAUGCACCUGCUCUACUGCUCGCGUCCUGGCAUUUAAUUAUACGCUGAAGAUGUCAAGUCUGACAGGCGAGAACGAGACCCGGCCAGCAACCCCUGACAGGACUUCUUGGUGACAACAUCUGGGCAACGGGGACCCAUCUGCUGGCACAGCCGGGCAGCAGGACAUGGUGCUGGAAUGCUGGCAGGGCUGCCAUUGGUUUUGCUGGGGUUACCUUUUUAUUUUAAUAGCAGGAUAGUCACCCGCACUUCCUACUGGAAGUUUCCUAAGCCAAGAACUGGGUGGUGAGGAUGGGGAUUAAGUGGACACUGAGCCCCCCGUGCUCAUGCUGGUCAGGAUACGGUGCCUAGAGAGUUGUGCCAUCCCUUCUGCCAUCAACACACGAUCCUCAAGGUUUCCACCGUGGACAUGCACAGCUUUCUCUCCUCUUCUUGCUCACCAAACUCUAUCAAAAGCCAAAAAGGGGAUCCCUGCACCCCUCCAAAAAGGUCCAGUAGCAUGUGGUGCUUCCACUGUCCUGCUGGAAAUAGGGCCGCCCCUUUGGGUAGUUAUCAAAGAGAUUAUCAGAAUGGUUUCUGUGCACAGCAGAAGCUUAAAUCGCAUCUGCUCUUUUUCUGUACAUGCCAGGCAAUAAAGCUGCCAAAAGGCAUUUUUGGGGCCAUUAUAAACGAGGAGUUUUAUUCCCCUGCACUUUCAGAGUCUCUAACUGAUGGAUGAAGUUUCAGUGGGACUCAUGAAACGAUGACAGCUGACGCCAAGCAGACCCACCAGCUCCAGCAUCCUUGGGAGGGCUCAGUGGGAGCUGCAGCCAGGACCAGCUGAUAAUGCUGAGCAACGUGCUCGCAUGUAUCAGGGAGAGAUGAUGUGGAAACAAUACCUUAAGGUGCUGUUGCCCUUCCAUUUUUAUGGCUCCUUAUGAGGCUGGGGCCAUCAAAUGCCAGACACAGAGACCUUCGUGCAGCAAGAAGCAGAGCCGGCUGGAGCUGAGGCUGCAGCUUUAUGGCAUCCCAACACCAAAGCUGUGGAGGGUAUUUUGUUUGAGCGGGGAGCACUGGGGAUGUGGUAGGCACAUGGGGGCCUUUGCUGGAACAAGUUGUUUGUGUGAAGUGUCACAUGUGGCCAGAGCCUGGAAAACAGAUGUUCCCAUUUUUCUUUAAGGACGCUGUUAGCAGUAGAGGGCUUUAACAGUAACAAACACUUCAAUUAAAAAA